rnacentral:rRNA from 1 species
UACAGAGGGUGCGAACGUUGUCCGGAAUCACUGGGCGUAAAGGGCGCGUAGGCGGCCUGAUAAGUCGGGGGUGAAAUCCUGUGGCUUAACCACAGGGCUGCCUCCGAGACUGUCGGGCUCGAGCACAGUAGAGGCAGGUGGAAGUUCCCGGUGUAGCGGUGGAAUGCGUAGAGAUCGGGAAGAACAUCGGUGGCGAAGGCGGCCUGCUGGGCUGUUGCUGACGCUGAGGCGCGACAGCGUGGGGAGCAAACAGG